AGGGGGAUAACUACUGGAAACGGUAGCUAAUACCGCAUAACGUCGCAAGACCAAAGAGGGGGACCUUCGGGCCUCUUGCCAUCAGAUGUGCCCAGAUGGGAUUAGCUAGUAGGUGGGGUAAUGGCUCACCUAGGCGACGAUCCCUAGCUGGUCUGAGAGGAUGACCAGCCACACUGGAACUGAGACACGGUCCAGACUCCUACGGGAGGCAGCAGUGGGGAAUAUUGCACAAUGGGCGCAAGCCUGAUGCAGCCAUGCCGCGUGUGUGAAGAAGGCCUUCGGGUUGUAAAGCACUUUCAGCGAGGAGGAAGGUGGUGAGCUUAAUACGCUCAUCAAUUGACGUUACUCGCAGAAGAAGCACCGGCUAACUCCGUGCCAGCAGCCGCGGUAAUACGGAGGGUGCAAGCGUUAAUCGGAA
rnacentral:rRNA from 1 species